AUCCAGCUGACGAGUACCAAAUAGGACGAAACACUUGUCAAACUGGAU
rnacentral:hammerhead_ribozyme from 1 species